CAGCUUCCUCAUUGGUUCUCCCCAAAAAGUCACACUGCCUCCCCUCUCCCAUUGGACCCACCUGUGUCACCCCACUCCAACUCCUCCCCUAGACCCUCUCCCCAUUGGACUGUUUGUAGCCUGACCCCUCCUACCCUUCCUAUAUGUGCCAGCCUCUCCCCUGCUGUUUACUGUUGGCCCCUGAUUUCCUUCUGUGGUGGUUGUGCUCCUGUUUGUUUUCCUCACCCUUCCCCCCACCUGGACCACUGGACCUUCUCCAAAUAAACCUUGCUGGAUCUACCAAGCCAAGAGUCCUCUUGUGUAUCUGGAGGAAUCCUGCUGUGAGGAAUGCUCCCAGCUCAGCAGAGUGAGGAUGUUUUCAUGGUGCCAGUCACUGUCCUGAUAAUCUCUCCUGAAGAGGCGGCACUGGUUGUGCUUCUUCUGAGGCAGUGUCUGUCAGGUACACAGAUAUAAGCCAAGCAACUGUUGGAAAGAGUAGCGAUGACAGGACAGUACCAGGAGACCUAAGUGUUGUAUCUCAAAUCAGCUGUGAGUAGCAGAAUCUCCAGAUCCUGGGAUGAUUUUUGUUGGAAGAGACUUUUAAGAAUAUCUAGACCCAUUGCCUGCCACGAGAAGGUACACAUUCCACUAGACCAAGUUGCUCCAAGCCCUGUCCAGCUUAGCCUUGAACACCUUGCAGGGUUGGGGCAGCCACAGCUUCACUGGGCAACCUGUGCCAGAGCCUCCCAACCCUCACAGGGAAGAAUUUCUUAAAAGCUUCUAAUCUUACCCUGUCCUCUGUCAGUGGGGAGCCAUUUCUCUUUGUCCUGGCACUGUAUGGCCUUGUUUAAAGUUCUUUUCCAGCCCUCUUGGAGCCUUUUUAGAUACUGAAAGGUUGUUAAAGGUCUCUCUGGAGCCUUCAAUUCUCCAAGCUGAAUAACUCCAACUCUCUCAGCCUGUCUCCAUAGCAGCGGUGCUCCAGCUGUUGGAUCAUCCUCGUGGCCUCCUAUGAAUGUUCCAGAUCCCAUCCAGCCUUUUAGUGUUCUUUCGGAUUCUGUCAGCUAGUUGACCUGUAGAUAACAAGAUGUGUCUCCCACACAUAGCCCAGUAAACUUUCUAGAAAAAUUCCAGAUACAAUUAUCUGUUAAAGUGCACUGCUUAUUUAACUUGGUACUGUGGACAAGGAACAAUAACUCAUAACUCAAACAGAGAAUAUUAUGCUUGUGCAAACUCUAGUGCUUUUAUUUACUGGUUGUUACAUUGCUAGAUUUUCUUUGAAAUUUCAUUCGUUCUCUGCUCAGUAACUUCCUGACUUGACCUUAAGAGAUUUGUGCCAAAUUUAUACAGAUCUGUGUAUUUGUGCAUGGCAUUACUAGAGAAAUCGAAAUGCCCACACAGAAAUAAGGCAGAUGUGAGAGAGAAAUAUAGAAUGGUUGUGGUUCUCCUGCAGUCAUGGAGUGGUGGAAUGCCACCUAACAAGCUCCCUGGGUGACCAGAGGGACACACAAGAGGCUUUCCCUGAACGUCUUCCGAGGCUUCUCAGUUGGCAGUGCGUGCAGCAGCGUGGCUGACGCUGCAGCAAGUCACCACAAGAAUACUAAGAUAAAAAGUCAAAGGAUAGGACAUUCAUUUGUAGUCUAAGAAAGCAUUACUCCAAGGAUGGGUGAGGGACAAGUGACACGGGGUUUUUAAAGGGAGCUUGCUAGGGGGUGGGAAUCUCACACAACCAAUGGGGAAAUACUUGGGGAGGAGUAUGGAGCUUAACAGAACCAAUAGGGUCAGUGCAGGGGAGGGGAGAAGCUUUGAGGACAAAUUAACUGUUAGAACAAGGGGGAUUGUCAUCAAACAUUCUGGAACAAAAUGGGUGGCUCUGGGCUGACAGACAUGAGAAGGGGGUAGCACAAUUAGGAUUGACAGGGCCAUACAAGGGAAGGAGGGGAGGAACAGGGAGAUAGACACACUGAGUGGCAGCUAAGUGUUGGGAAAACUUAGGAGUAAACAACUUGGGAGAAACCAUUCUGAGGGGAUAAAAUGGGGGUACAUGGACCAAACCAAUGUACUUAACUAACACUGAACCACUGACUUUUACAAUAAAACAACUGUAAAACUUACAAAAACAUACUGCUACGGGUAGUGACAAAGACAAUGCCACAUCAUGGAGCUCCUGCUGGUCAUUAAGAAGAUCUUGUCAAAUAUAUUCUAAUCCCAAACAAAUCUCAUUGAUGUUUAUGCUUGCUGUGAUUCUGAAGCCAACACAGAUGUAUACAAUGACAUCUGUCACUGACCUGACUGGUAGCUGUGUUUGGUCCAGAGUUAUCUGCCAAGCAGGGGAAAAACCUCCGCCCUGGGAGGAUGUUGGCAUCACCUUCAGCAGAACUUCACAGAGAAGUGGUCAUCAAAAAUACACUGAAAAGCCUGAAAACCUUGUUAAAAAUCCUAAAAUACCAAUAUGUUUGUCAAGUGCAGUCAGGUCUGCUUAAUCACAAUUUGUUUGCCAACAUCCAAUUUUAUCAGCUAAAUGAAAAAAAAGAAAAGUCAAAACUUGUUCAAAUGUCUUAUUAAACUAGUUUCUGCUUUAAUCUGUGUUGUGCUGAGACAAUGCCAAUAAAACAAGUAUGAUUUAACCA